GACGAACGCUGUCGGCGUGCUUAACACAUGCAAGUCGAACGGAAAGGCUCCAGCUUGCUGGAGUACUCGAGUGGCGAACGGGUGAGUAACACGUGGGUAAUCUGCCCUGCACUCUGGGAUAAGCCUGGGAAACUGGGUCUAAUACUGGAUAUGACCUUUCUCCUUAUGGGGUGUGGUGGAAAGUUUUUCGGUGUAGGAUGAGCCCGCGGCCUAUCGGCUUGUUGGUGGGGGGAUGGCCUACCAAGGCGACGACGGGUAGCCGGCCUGAGAGGGUGAUCGGCCACAUUGCUACUGCGAUACGGCCCAGACUCCUACGGGAGGCAGCAGUGGGGAAUAUUGCACAAUGGGCGGAAGCCUGAUGCAGCGACGCCGCGUGAGGGAUGACGGCCUUCGGGUUGUAAACCUCUUUCAGCAGUGACGAAGCGUGAGUGACGGUACCUGCAGAAGAAGCACCGGCUAACUACGUG
rnacentral:rRNA from 1 species